ensembl:lncRNA
GGGGCAGGUUGAAGGUGCCAGUUAAUAUACUGCGCGACACAGCGGCCUUUGAUUCCUUCAUUCAGGCUUCUGUGUUGCCUUUUUCCGCUGAGACUCACACAGGUUGUUGGGUGCCUGUUGUAGGUAUGGAAAUGAAUGUUUUGCAAGUCCCUCUGCACAAAAUCACAUUACACUCUGAUCUCUUCCAAGGCGAGAUAGCUGUGGGUGUGAGGCCGGCGCUGCCUGUUGAGGGGGUCACUCUGAUCCUAGGGAACGGUGCUGCAGGUGAGCGUGUGUGGGGUGAUGUGGCCCCGUCUCCAGUGGUUUCCUCAGUUCCCCUGGUGAGGAAGCAGCCUGAUGAGGAUGAAAUAAGUUUCCCCGAAGUGUUCACAGCGUGUGCGGUGACGCGGUCUAUGUCCCAACAUUCUCCACCAGAGCCGCCUGAGUGUGGCGUGGGUGAUGGUGAGGCAGUAGAUGGGUUGUGUUUCUCCCUGUCUGAUGUUUCCCUUUCAGUUACGCAGGAAGAGUUGGAGAGUGAGCAGCGAGCCGACGCGUCCCUGAAGGGACUGUUUGACAUGGUGUUGCCUGCGUCGGAGGGGAUCCCGUCCUCCAGAUUGUCCUGCCUUCGAAGCUCCGGGAGACGGUGCUUCGCCGGGCCCAUGAUGACUCGGGUCACUGGGGGGCGUUUGAGAGGAUAAAGUCUCUGCUGUGUGAAGCACCGGUCCUGGCCGCUCCGAGGUUUGACCGACCUUUUGUGCUUCAAGUCGACGCUAGUCACAUCGGAGUUGCUGAGGUGGGGGUGUGGAAGAUGCGCGUAGUGAGCUGUGUGGUUCUCAACAGCAGCUGGUGUUCCUGUCCUCGGAUGUGUGUGCCCUUGUGUGUGUGCCUUAAACAUCGUAAACUCUAUACGUGUAAAAAAAAAAAAAAAAAAAAAUAAGUAGAAUGUAUAUAUUUGUGAAGAAAACAAACUUUAUAGUAGGUAGAAUGUGUAGCCUAUAUAUUUGCAAAGUAAAAAAAAAAAUAAUGAGGUUUAAUAAUGAGGGAGCCAUUGUCGAGUUCGGGGUUUGGGCCCGUUUUUCAGGAGGGGGUGUGACGGCCUCCUGCCUGUGGAUGUGUGUAUGCGUGUAUGGUGGCCUCUGCUUUGUCAAGCUGCAGGUGAUGAGCUGGUGGGUGUGGCCAAUUCCCAAACCUGUGUUAAGCUGGUCCUUCCUCCUGCCUCACUCUCUUCCUGACAUCGCCUGGCUCCGGAGGGAGAGCGGUGUGCCGCUCCGCCGCAGCCCCUCGUUUUCUAUUGUGUUCUCUUUGUUUGCUUUGCCGUCAUUUUGGUCCCUUGUGUUAGGGAAAUAAAUUAUCCUUUUGUUACUUUUACCUACGCAGUUC